UUAUUGAGAGCUUGAAUGAAGGGUUUAACAUAUAAUUUCUGUUUUUUGAUUAUUUAAUAAUUUAUGUUUUAUGUAAAAACACAUAGAUAUUCAAGAGGGACGAUAAGACCCUAAAAGCUUCAUCCUUCAAGAAUUGUUUUUUAUUGUUUUUAUCUUGAUUUUUUAUAUGGGAUUUGGCUGGGGCAGCAUUUUUUGUAAACAAAAAAAAAUUUUUUACAUAUUGGUUUAAAGGUCCUUUCUAUUGGGAUAAAUUGUUAAAGUUACUUUAGGGAUAACAGCGCGAUAAUAGUGGGGAGACCUUAUUUAUACUGUUGAUUGUGACCUCGAUGUUGAAUUAAUAUGUCUUUGUGAAGCAGAAAUUAUUUAAAGAGAGUUUGUUCAACUCUUAAAUUAUUACAUGAUCUGAUUUCAAA
rnacentral:rRNA from 1 species